AAGAGUUUUCAGAAACUCCCUAAACCCACUGUGGACUUAUUUGUUUCGUUGCUUCGGCAGGCGGCCCCAGGGCGGGGUCACCGCCUGUGCUGCACAGGCGCCUGCCGAAGGUAUCCCAAACUCGUGUUAUACUGUCAUCUGAGUUUGCACAAGCAAAUUGUCA
rnacentral:misc_RNA from 1 species